CCCCUCUCAGGGUCAUGCCUGGAGAGUUCCCAGUUCUCUACCAGUCUCAACUGCAGGAGGGAGAGUCAAACAGAAGUAUAUCCAUUCCAUUCCUAGCUUGACCAGUGGCUAGCAAGUGGAAGGCAAUCUGCUACAUUU